ensembl:lncRNA
CUUUUUUAAUUUCUCCAGACAGUGGGAACUGCUCGUCCCCUGAGGCUGAGCUGUUCUUUGCUGUCUGUACAUUUACAUACAUUCAUGGUUGUGUACAUGCCUACUUCUUCAAUUCUAGAGACAAAACAGUGGUCUAUAGUGUGGUGCUCAGAACUGAUGUGAGGUUUGGCAACGCUGAACCCGAAAGAGGGAAGGAGAACUGGAGUGUACCAUGAAAUUCUCAGGUUGGGCACAAUGUGUAUGACAUUUCCAGCAUAACUGGACUGAAUGUGAAAACCUAUGGAGAGUGUGAUACUUCUUUUCCUUUCAAAUCCACUCUUUGGUGGAAAGGAGCCCUCUUACAUUAUGAGCAAAAGAACCCCUCAUGCAUAAAAAUAGGGAGCAGAAGAACCUUUAAGCAUACUCACAGCUAAGGUAAAAUCAUACUGUAGAACUGAAAGUAGUUCUCCUGUGAAUUGGUCCCAGGUAGAUUUUUCCACCUAUGCAUUUCUGUGAAACUCCUUUCUUGGCCUACCCACACACCAUCUGCUUAG